UGGUGGAGUGAUUUGUCUGGUUAAUUCCGAUAACGAACGAGACUCUCACCUGCUAAAUAGUACGUCGGUAUUGACACUUUUAGUGUUCCAGCCGGCGCUGACUUCUUAGAGGGAUUCGCAGUAUUUAAACUGCACGAAAUAGAGCAAUAACA
rnacentral:rRNA from 1 species